CCUACGGGAGGCAGCAGUAGGGAAUAUUGCUCAAUGGGGGCAACCCUGAAGCAGCAACGCCGCGUGGAGGAUGAAGGUUUUCGGAUUGUAAACUUCUUUUGUUAGAGAAGAUAAUGACGGUAUCUAACGAAUAAGCACCGGCUAACUCCGUGCCAGCAGCCGCGGUAAUACGGCGGGUGCAAGCGUUAGUCGGAAUCACUGGGCGUAAAGAGCGCGUAGGCGGGAUAGCAAGUCAGAUGUGAAAUCCUCUGGCUUAACCAUAGAACUGCAUUGGAGACUGUUAUUCUAGAGUAUGGGAGGGGUAGGCGGAAUUCUUGGUGUAGGGGUAAAAUCAGGAGAUAUUAAGAGGAACACUCAUGGCGAAGGCGACUUACUAGAACAUAACUGACGCGGAGGCGCGAAAGCGUGGGGAGCAAACAGGAUUAGAUACCCCAGUAGUC
rnacentral:rRNA from 1 species